CAGGAGCUGCAGACCCUGCAGCAGGAGGUUGAUGAUGACACUACAGAGGUCAUCCCAUCAGCCAUAUACGUGGCCCAGUUGUACCACAAGGUGACCAAGAUCAAGUGGGAGUAUGACACGGAGCCACACAUUCUGAGAGGAGUUCACUAUGGAGCUGACCUGGCCACGCCAAUCAACAUAGACACCUCUGUGCGGUCUCGGUGUUCAGUCAGUGAUGAGCUGUGGAACUUUGUCAGCACUGAAUGGUAGAAGAGAUCAAAGUAAAGUUGCCAUAUCUGUCCAGUAGUUGUUUGUCCUGUAGUUGGAUUGUCUGUUGUGUUUGUGUUGUGUGUUSUAAUACAUUUGUUUUAAACUAAGAUUGUAUUCCUAUUGUUGGUAUUGCCUUCCAUGACAUUUUGUUAUAUUGAAUAAAGCAGUUUUUCUAAACA